AAGCGCGAAAGCGUGGGUAGCAAACAGGAUUAGAUACCCUGGUAGUCCACGCAGUAAACGAUGAUUACUAGGAGUUUGCGAUAUACCGUCAAGCUUCCACAGCGAAAGCGUUAAGUAAUCCACCUGGGGAGUACGCCGGCAACGGUGAAACUCAAAGGAAUUGACGGGGGCCCGCACAAGCGGAGGAACAUGUGGUUUAAUUCGAUGAUACGCGAGGAACCUUACCCGGGAUUGAAAUGUAGAUGACGGAUGGUGAAAACCGUCUUCCCUUCGGGGCGUCUAUGUAGGUGCUGCAUGGUUGUCGUCAGCUCGUGCCGUGAGGUGUCGGCUUAAGUGCCAUAACGAGCGCAACCCACAUCGGUAGUUGCUAGCAGUUUUCGCUGAGGACUCUACCGAGACUGCCGUCGUAAGGCGCGAGGAAGGUGUGGAUGACGUCAAAUCAGCACGGCCCUUACAUCCGGGGCGACACACGUGUUACAAUGGGAGGGACAAAGGGCAGCUACCGGGCGACCGGAUGCGAAUCUCUAAACCCUUCCCCAGUUCGGAUCGGAGUCUGCAACUCGACUCCGUGAAGCUGGAUUCGCUAGUAAUCGCGCAUCAGCCAUGGCGCGGUGAAUACGUUCCCGGGCCUUGUACACACCGCCCGUCAAGCCAUGGGAGUCGGGGGUACCUGAAGGGCGUAACCGCAAGGGGCGCACUAGGGUAAUACCGGUGACUGGGGCUAAGUCGUAACAAGGUAACC
rnacentral:rRNA from 1 species